GGCUACCCCUCCCUCCUCCACACCAAAAAGUGGCCGCCUACAUCAGCCUGGACCGCGCCGUGCUGGGUGCCGACAGGUUCGUGGUGAGGACGAGCCCCACGUUGGUGAAUUUGGUGAGAGCGCCCUGGGGCAGGUGGAAAGCCCCAAGGAGGGCGGGAAGAGCCUCCUGGAGCAGUUGGGGAGGGGCUGGGAGAGCGACGUGUG